UACGUAGGAGGCAAGCGUUGUCCGGAAUUACUGGGUGUAAAGCGCACGUAGGCGGUCUGUUAUGUCGGAUGUGAAAGCCCUUGGCUCAACUGAGGAAGUGCAUCCGAAACUGGCAGGCUAGAGUACGAAAGAGGAUCGCGGAAUUCCCGGUGUAGAGGUGAAAUUCGUAGAUAUCGGGAGGAACACCAGUGGCGAAGGCGGCUCACUGGACCGGUACUGGACGCUGAGGCGCGAAAGCGUGGGGAGCAAACGGG
rnacentral:rRNA from 1 species